CGUAAUUCAAAGAAAAAAGUAUAAAGAUGGAAGGAAUAUUACAAAUCAAAAUUACCAAAAAUGCACACACAGCAACAUGAUAUUACCAAUUAAAAGAUACAAUGACAAAAGACACCAACAGAAGUCAACUAAAGUAAUGAUAAUGAUGAGGCAAAACAAUUGGAAGAAAAACUAAACGAUUAGAGAUAACCAAGCACUGCAAUUAGAAAACGAAUUGAGCAUCAAUGUUGAAAUUGAACCAAAAACACAAACAGCACUAAAG
rnacentral:misc_RNA from 1 species